rnacentral:rRNA from 1 species
UACGGAGGGGGCAAUCGUUGUUCGGAAUUACUGGGCGUAAAGGACGUGUAGGCGGCCUGCCAAGUCAGAUGUGAAAGCCCCGGGCUUAACCUGGGAACUGCAUUUGAGACUGGCCGGCUCGAGGUUGGAAGAGGAGAGUGGAAUUCCCAGUGUAGAGGUGAUAUUCGUAGAUAUUGGGAAGAACACCGGUGGCGAAGGCGGCUCUCUGGUCCACACCUGACGCUGAGGCGCGAAAGCGUGGGGAGCAAACAGG